UAGCAUUCAGAAGUGAGAAUGUUGACAUGAGUAGCGAUAAAGAGUGUGAGAGACACUCUCGCCGAAAGUCCAAGGGUUCCUGCUUAAAGCUAAUCUGAGCAGGGUGAGCCGACCCCUAAGGCGAGGCCGAAAGGCGUAGUCGAUGGGAACCAGGUUAAUAUUCCUGGGCCAGGAGGAAGUGACGGAUCGCAAAGCUUGUUCGCCCUUAUCGGAUUGGGCGGGCCUGUCAGCGGUUCCUGGAAAUAGCCCUCCAUGAGAUCGUACCCUAAACCGACACAGGUGGACUGGUAGAGCAUACCAAGGCGCUUGAGAGAACUGCGUUGAAGGAACUCGGCAAAAUGCCUCCGUAACUUCGGGAGAAGGAGGCCCCGUCCGUGGGCAACCAUGGGCGGGGGGCACAAACUAGGGGGUGGCGACUGUUUACUAAGAACACAGGACUCUGCGAAGCCCAAAGGCGACGUAUAGGGUCUGACGCCUGCCCGGUGCUGGAAGGUUAAAGGGAGGGGUGCAAGCUCCGAACUGAAGCCCCAGUAAACGGCGGCCGUAACGAUAACGGUCCUAAGGUAGCGAAAUUCCUUGUCGGGUAAGUUCCGACCUGCACGAAUGGCGUAACGACAUCCCCGCUGUCUCCAACGCAGACUCAGCGAAAUUGAACUCCCCGUGAAGAUGCGGGGUUCCCGCGGUCAGACGGAAAGACCCCGUGCACCUUUACUACAGCUUCACACUGGCAUCAGGCCAGGCAUGUGCAGGAUAGGUGGCAGGCUUUGAAGCGGGGACGCCAGUUCCCGUGGAGCCGUCCUUGAGAUAUCACCCUUGCCUUGCCUGAUGUCUAACCGCGGACCGUCAUCCGGUUCCGGGACCCUGUGUGGCGGGUAGUUUGACUGGGGCGGUCGCCUCCCAAAUAGUAACGGAGGCGCGCGAUGGUGGGCUCAGGUUGGUCGGAAAUCAACCGUCGAGUGCAAUGGCAUAAGCCCGCCUGACUGCGAGACUGACAAGUCGAGCAGAGACGAAAGUCGGCCAUAGUGAUCCGGUGGUCCCGCGUGGAAGGGCCAUCGCUCAACGGAUAAAAGGUACGCCGGGGAUAACAGGCUGAUACUGCCCAAGAGUCCAUAUCGACGGCAGUGUUUGGCACCUCGAUGUCGGCUCAUCACAUCCUGGGGCUGGAGAAGGUCCCAAGGGUACGGCUGUUCGCCGUUUAAAGUGGUACGUGAGCUGGGUUUAGAACGUCGUGAGACAGUUCGGUCCCUAUCUGCCGUGGGUGUCGGAGACUUGAGAGGAGUUGCCCCUAGUACGAGAGGACCGGGGUGAACGUUCCACUGGUGGACCUGUUGUCGUGCCAACGGCAGUGCAGGGUAGCUAUGAACGGACAGGAUAACCGCUGAAGGCAUCUAAGCGGGAAGCCCCCCUCAAAACCAGGUCUCCCUUGAGGGCCGUGGAAGACCACCACGUCGAUAGGCCGGAGGUGUAAGCGCAGCAAUGCGUUCAGCUGACCGGUACUAAUCGCCCG
rnacentral:rRNA from 1 species